CCUACUUCCUUCAGACUUGUGAACAAGAAGGAGAGUGGUACCAUGUGGCGUGUGACAUCUAGCAGGGCAGCAGAGGCCUCCCUGCAGUGUCCCUACAGCGCUGGGCACGGUGGCUCACACCUGUAAUCCCAGCAUUUUGGGAGGCUGAGGCGGGUGGAUCACUUGAGGUCAGGAGCUUGAGACCAGCCUGGCCAAUUUGGUGAAACCCCGUCUCUGCUACAAAUACAAAAAUCAGGCCGGGCACGGUGUCUCAUGCCUGUAAUCCCGCACUUUGGGAGGCUAGGUGCCAGCGUGGAGGAGAGGUGCACCUGCGCUGGGGGGUGAAGGGGUCCCUUCUCUGGGUGGGGCAGGAUGGGGGUCCCAGCACUGGGUGGGUGGAGGAGUCCCUUCUCUGGAUGGGGUAGGACGGGGGUCCCAGCGCUGGGUGGGCGGCAGGACGGGGUGGGGCAGGGCGGGGUUCUGGUCAGUGGUCCACCCCCGCGCCGACGCCCUUGCCCCCUCCUCAGGGACCACGCAGGCCGGACCCCGCUCCACCUGGCCGUGCUGCGGGGCCACGCGCCCCUGGUGCGUCUCCUGCUGCAGCGAGGGGCCCCGGUGGGCGCGGUGGACCGGGCGGGGCGCACCGCGCUGCACGAGGCCGCCUGGCACGGACACUCGCGGGUGGCCGAGCUGCUGCUGCAGCGCGGGGCCUCGGCGGCGGCUCGCUCCGGGACGGGCCUCACGCCGCUGCACUGGGCCGCUGCCCUGGGCCACACGCUGCUGGCCGCGCGCCUGCUGGAGGCUCCGGGCCCGGGACCCGCGGCAGCGGAGGCGGAGGACGCGCGCGGCUGGACGGCGGCGCACUGGGCGGCCGCGGGCGGGCGGCUGGCGGUGCUGGAGCUGCUGGCGGCCGGCGGCGCGGGCCUGGACGGCGCCCUGCUCGUGGCUGCCGCUGCGGGGCGCGGGGCGGCGCUGCGCUUCCUCCUGGCGCGCGGGGCGCGGGUGGACGCCCGGGAUGGCGCGGGGGCCACAGCGCUGGGUCUGGCGGCCGCCCUAGGCCGCUCCCAGGUACGUCCCGCCCUCCGCCCGGCAGUGAUGGGAGGGGGCGCAGGGCCAGGAUCCCCAGAGACGUGCCACCGGGGCAGCUGGAGCCAGGCUGGGGGACGGUGUCCAGGCACGAAGGCCCUGAGCGCGCCCCCGGCUGUGCCCCU
rnacentral:lncRNA from 1 species